rnacentral:rRNA from 1 species
AACGAACGCUGGCGGCAGGCCUAACACAUGCAAGUCGAGCGCGCCUUUCGGGGUGAGCGGCGGACGGGUUAGUAACGCGUGGGAAUAUACCCUUUGGUACGGAAUAGCCUCUGGAAACGGAGAGUAAUACCGUAUGAGCCCUUCGGGGGAAAGAUUUAUCGCCAAAGGGAUUAGCCCGCCGGUUAGAUUAGGUAGUUGGUGGGGUAAUGGCCUACCAAGCCUACGAUCUAUAGCUGGUUUUAGAGGAUGAUCAGCAACACUGGGACUGAGACACGGCCCAGACUCCUACGGGAGGCAGCAGU